rnacentral:rRNA from 1 species
GACGAACGCUGGCGGCGUGCUUAACACAUGCAAGUCGAACGAUGAUGCCCAGCUUGCUGGGUGGAUUAGUGGCGAACGGGUGAGUAACACGUGAGUAACCUGCCCUUGACUUCGGGAUAACUCCGGGAAACCGGGGCUAAUACCGGAUAUGAGCUACCUUCGCAUGGGGGUGGUUGGAAAGUUUUUCGGUCAGGGAUGGGCUCGCGGCCUACCAGCUUGUUGGUGGGGUGAUGGCCUACCAAGGCGACGACGGGUAGCCGGCCUGAGAGGGCGACCGGCCACACUGGGACUGAGACACGGCCCAGACUCCUACGGGAGGCAGCAGUGGGGAAUAUUGCACAAUGGGCGAAAGCCUGAUGCAGCGACGCCGCGUGAGGGAUGAAGGCCUUCGGGUUGUAAACCUCUUUCAGCAGGGAAGAAGCGCAAGUGACGGUACCUGCAGAAGAAGCGCCGGCUAACUACGUGCCAGCCGCCGCAGUAACAC